rnacentral:misc_RNA from 1 species
UACGUAGGGGGCAAGCGUUGUCCGGAAUUAUUGGGCGUAAAGCGCGCGCAGGCGGUCCAUUAAGUUUGGUGUUUAAGGCCCGGGCUCAACCCGGGUACGCACUGAAAACUGGUGGACUUGAGUACAGAAGAGGAAAGUGGAAUUCCACGUGUAGCGGUGAAAUGCGUAGAGAUGUGGAGGAACACCAGUGGCGAAGGCGACUUUCUGGGCUGUAACUGACGCUGAGGCGCGAAAGCGUGGGGAGCAAACAGG